rnacentral:misc_RNA from 1 species
UUUCUUUUUUUUUCUUUUUUUUUUAGUGAUAAAAGAGUAUCACAGUAUCACCUCAAGGUGUGCCUUUUGUUUUUGACUACCUUGGCAUUACUAUAAAUAAUUUUGUAGAUUUACUUGAAUUUCUGUCUAACCUUUUAAGUUCUUUUCAUGUAACAUGGAUAUAAAAUACCAAUUGCAUAAAAUUAUGUAUUUAUAUUUCUCUCUUUUUGCCAAUUGGAUUAAUAUAACAUUUACAAGUUUUAGAAAACUGCGAGAAGUCAUGUUAACAGGCCUUCUCUUCUGAAGUGUGUUCUAAGUUGAUUUUCUGAUUGAGUUCUCAUUUGGGUGCCUUUCAUUGAAUUUCAUUUUCGUUCUGAACAAUGCAGCAACAGAACCAUAUGCUUGUUGUCAGCAAUUGGGUCAAACAUUGCCCUUUAAUAUAUGAAACAUUCAUACUAUUAGCAUGAUAAUCAUUCCCAUUUUGAAAAUUAAACAGCUUUCAAUUGUAGUAAAAACUUUUGUCAUUUUGCUAUGUGAUUGUAUCAUUUGUUGUUUGGACAUUGAUUGGCUUCAUUAUGAUAAUGGAAUUGUGUUCUUAUUGAAAUGGAGUUUCUUAUGAUUGAUGUUUCUAUAUGCUCUCAUAUCUUUAGACUGUGAUUACUCAAAUUAAUCAUGCCAUUGGAGCCUCUGGUAUUAUAAGCCAAGAAUGCAAGACAUUGGUUGCACAAUAUGGGAAAGUCAUA